CCCUUAGAUGUUCUGGGCCGCACGCGCGCUACACUGACGAAUGCAACGAGCUUAUAACCUUGGCCGAAAGGUCUGGGUAAUCUCCAAAUUUCGUCGUGAUGGGGAUAGAUUAUUGCAAUUAUUAAUCUUCAACGAGGAAUGCCUAGUAAGCGCAAGUCAUCAGCUUGCGUUGAUUACGUCCCUGCCCUUUGUACACACCGCCCGUCGCUCCUACCGAUUGAAUGGUCCGGUGAAGCGUUCGGACCGUGGCCUUUGGACGGUUCGCCGUCUGUUGGCUGCGGGAAGUUCGUUAAACCUUAUCAUUUAGAGGAAGUAAAAGUCGUAACA
rnacentral:rRNA from 1 species